UAAGACGAACCGUCCAAACGUUAUUCGGAAUCAUUGGGCUUAAAGGGUGCGUAGGCUGUGCAGUAAGUUGGGUGUGAAAUCCCUCGGCUCAACCGAGGAACUGCGCCCAAUACUGCUGUACUAGAGGAAGAUAGGGGUAAGCGGAACUGAUGGUGGAGCGGUGAAAUGCGUUGAUAUCAUCAGGAACACCGGUGGCGAAGGCGGCUUACUGGAUCUUUUCUGACGCUGAUGCACGAAAGCUAGGGUAGCGAACGGGAUUAGAUACCCCGGUAGUCCUAGCUGUAAACGAUGAGCACUUGGUCGGAGGCUCCUCCAUAGGCUUCUGGCCGUAGCGAAAGUGUUAAGUGCUCCGCCUGGGGAGUAUGGUCGCAAGGCUG
rnacentral:rRNA from 1 species